UAAAAGUCGUAACAAGGUUUCCGUAGGUGAACCUGCGGAAGGAUCAUUACCGUUACUCUGUGUCUUGCACACACUGUAAACCACUGUGAACUGUUCCGAGCUUGUGGGGUGGUUCUUCUUUGCAGGAGAAUCUCAAAUGCAGUUAGACAGCCGAGGCUGGCUGCUGCGGCCCCACAUGUCUGUCUCUUAUGUUUUUCAAAACACUCGUCAAUUCAUUCCAGUUGAAUAGUAUCACUCUGGCCAGUCCAGUUUGAUACACAGUUUAAACACAUGACAACUUCUAACGGUGGAUCUCUUGGCUCGUGCAUCGAUGAAGAACGUAGCCAGUUGCGAUAAGUAGUGUGAAUUGCAGAAUUCAGUGAAUCAUCGAAUCUUUGAACGCAAAUUGCGCUCUCUGGAUAUCCAGGGAGCAUGCCUGUCUGAGUGUCGUGAUAAAAACUACACACCCCUGGUGUGGCAUGUGGGUAUCGAGUUUGCAGAUUGCUCAGGCGUUCUGUACUAAACUCGUCCUGCGAAGUGCGUGAACCUGAAUGUGCUGCUGACUGCAUGUGCAUUGGGAAGACUCAACUUGCUUCUGUCUUUCCCUCUGCGUUCUCAUGCCAGCAGUAUCAUUGUAGAUGGUGAACAAGACGGUGUCCCACCCAUGGGGCGGGCACGAUGUCAAUUUCUGAUUUUGACCUCAGAUCAGACAAGACUACCCGCUGAAUUUAAGCAUAUCA
rnacentral:rRNA from 1 species